rnacentral:rRNA from 1 species
CAUAGUUUUGGUCCUAAACUUACUGCUACUUUUAAUCAAAUUUACACAUGCAAGCAUCCACACACCAGUGAAAUACGCCCUAACACAGUAUAAAUGGAGCAGGUAUCAGGCACAACCGCCAGCCAAAAACACCAAGCUUUGCCACACCCACACGGGCCCUCAGCAGUGAUAAACAUUAAGCAAUAAGCGAACACACCAAACUAAAGCUUGACUUAGUUAUGAUUAACAGGGCCGGUAAACCUCGUGCCAGCCACCGCGGUUACACGGCGGGCCCAAAGCAGCAGACUCUCGGCGUAAAUAGUGGCCAGAAUAAUUACCCCCACAUUAAAAACUAAACCAUACCCUAACCGUAAAACACAGGCUAAAUGAAAUCAAGCACUUUUAAUAACAGGUAAUUUGACCCACGAAAACUAAGAAACAAACUAGGAUUAGAUACCCUACUAUGCUUAGUCGUUAAUAUGAUAUUAUAGUACUAAAAUAUCCGCCAGAAAACUACGAGCGAAAAGCUUAAAACUCAAAGGACUUGGCGGUGCUCCAUACCGACUUAGAGGAGCCUGUCCUAUAAUCGAUACCCCACGCUAAACCCCACCAAUCUUUGCCAUACCAGCCUAUAUACCGCCGUCGUCAACCCACCUCAUGAGA